CGAGAUUAGCAAACAAUCGUGAAAGGCCGUUUAAUUGUUUAAAAAAUUGAAAAGAGAAGUAAUAGAAAAAUUGUCCUUGCACAUUCAACCAUUAUACGAGUUUAAAGCAUAGUUUUAUGCGUUCACGAUGUGUCCAGGUUAGAGCCAGUCAGCAGAUUUACCAACAAAAGGGCUGUUGUAGCUCAGACAUUAUUAAUAAACAAACACAGCAAACAUUGUAUGGAAAAUAACAUUCCUCCUUUUACGAUGCAGGCAGAUUUGAUCAAGUGUUUGGUGCGGUUUAUGAUACAAGGGCCCAUGCAGGCCAUUUCUCAAGUAUACACACAAUGGCUUCCCCCUUCCGGGUAGGACCCGUGAAUGUGAUGAACUACUACAAGAACACGUCUACGUGGUUCAUGUCCACAAGAACUCGUCCGCGCGAAUACAUUCAACUGCGAGUAUACUAGAGUCAACACGAGUACAAGACUACAAUGUCCAAGCGAGUACACGACAACGUGGACUUGACAUGACUACAAAGACCGUCCGCGCGAAUACACGCAGCUACAAUCAUACUUAAGUCAACACGAAUGCAAGGCUACAGGGACUCUUCCACGCGAGAACGCGACAACGUAGACUUGUCUGUGCGUGUACACAACUACAAGGAAUCAUCCACGCUAAUGCACGCAACUCCAAGUAUACUCGAGUCAACCGACUACAGGGACUCCUCCACGCGAGUACGACAAGACAAAAACAAGACAAAAGCAAAAACGAAAAUUUGCUUUUUAAAUUUAGAGCUAGUGAGUAACAAUAUAUCCACUCAUAGCAAAUAAAAAUAAAUAAAAUAAAAACACUGCGAGCUGGGUGAGAGGCGAAAAAUACGAGAGGGCCAAAAAUGCAAGAUGGCGGCCAAAACACUGGAAGCACGCUAACGCGUCCUCGACAAUCACCAGAGCCAGAUGAUGCCAGUAUCGCGGCCCAUUCUAGAGCGAACGGCUCCAACCGAUCACGCCUUCACCAGCUCUGAUAUGCUAUCCCUGUAUUAUAAACAAACAGAAAUACAACACCUGGGUAUGGACAUGCUUGAGAUAUCGUUAAUCUCGGCCGUAACUUCUCAUAUCGGGUUAGCUAGCCAGACAAUGGGUGUUUGGCCGGCAACAAUCUUUUAUUAUCAAAUAAAAAAAUAAUAAAACAGGCACAUCUUUUAUGGAAUAUUUGAAAUUCAAAUGGAAAUGUUGACGGUGUUUAUGUAUUGUGUAACAUAAGUGUGUCAUUGGAUAAUUAUUUCUUAUUACUCGUAGACCAUGGAAAUAGAGCCUAUACUAAAGUGCAGUCUUCAAAA